UACGAAGGGGGCUAGCGUUGCUCGGAAUUACUGGGCGUAAAGGGAGCGUAGGCGGACAGUUUAGUCAGAGGUGAAAGCCCAGGGCUCAACCUUGGAAUUGCCUUUGAUACUGAUUGUCUUGAGUAUGGGAGAGGUGUGCGGAACUCCGAGUGUAGAGGUGAAAUUCGUAGAUAUUCGGAAGAACACCAGUGGCGAAGGCGACUUACUGGACGAUUGUUGACGCUGAGGUGCGAAAGCGUGGGGAGCAAACAGG
rnacentral:rRNA from 1 species